ensembl:lncRNA
CAUGAUCUCUGAUGGUGGAAUCUGCUGUGAUGUCCUGAACUCUGCUGUCUUCACUUCAUACACUUCAUUACAUCCCUGGGCUCCAGCUGUCUCCCGUGGUGCAGGCACUUCUUCACCAGUGGCUCUAAGAGCCUGAUCCUUGGUCAUAGCAUCACAGAGUCACGAAGGUUGGAAAAGACCUCUAAGAUCCCCAAGCCCAACCCCAACCCAUUCCCACCGUGCCCACUGACCACAUCCCCACGGUUCUGGAACACCUCUGGGGACGGUGACUCCACCACUCCCUGGGCAGCCUGUGCCAGUGCCCAACCACUCUUUUGGAGAAGUUUUUCCUAAUAUCCAACCUGACCCUCCCCUGGUGCAACGUAAAGCCAUCACCUCUCAUCCCAUCGCUGUCACCUGGGAGACCCCCACCUCGCCACAGCUUCCUUUCAGGGAGUUGUAGAGAGCUCGAUGGCUCUGUAAAGAGCUCUAUACUACUUUGAAAGACGGAUCAGCAUCAUAAGAUCCUCGUGUUUAAGGAGCCAGGAUUGAGGCUCAGGAGAGGAUGGAAAGAUUCUUACCUGUGACAUCGCUCCAUCACGGUCUGUGGUUUCUGGGCUCCGCUCUUUGUUUGGUGUUGUUCUUCUCCCACAGGAAUUCAGCUGCAAGGAUGGCUUUGAGUGCAGGCCUUGCACUUACUUUGUCUCCGUGGCCUUCUGCUCAGUUCUCGUGUUGUGCCAAACCCUGGCUGGGUUUCCAGCCCUGCACUGAUGAGCUCAGAGAUGCUCUGGUACAAAGUGCAGAUAUCCAACCCCAAGAAUUUUCUUGCCAUGAGAAUCAACCAAGGGUUGACAUUAGGCAUCCUCGUCACCAUGGGAGUCAAGCAGGGGUUGAUGCUGACCAUCCUCCUCACCAUGAGAAUCAACCAAGAAUUGACACUGGCCAACAUCCUCACCGUGGGAGUCAGCCAGGGAUUGACAGUGACCAUCCUCCUCACCAUGGGAAUCCACCAAGGAUUGACAUUGAUCAUCCUUCUCACUGUUAGAAGCAACCAAGAAUUGGCAUUGGCCACCAUCUUCAUUGUGGGAGUCAACCAGGGAUUGACACUGACCAUCCUUUUCACUGUGGGAAUCAACCAAGGAUUGACAUUGGCCACCCACGGGAAGAAUCUGAUGAAAUCUCAUCACUCAACACCCAUUGACACCAAUGUGGGCUGGAGCAGAGCUGGCAGAGCCCAGGAGGGGACCAGAGCUGCCAAGAAGCAAGCAGUUGCAUGGAUGAAGUGUUGGGGCAAACCCAUGGGAGCCCAUGGUCUGCAGUGGAGCCCAAUGGAGCAGUCUGGGCUGUAGCACAAGGACCUAUUCCCAUUCUCUGCUGCACUGCAAAGAUGGAGCUGGCAUGCUUUCUGUCUGUGCAGAAACAGCCAGCAGAGAGACCUGGACCCAACGGUUUAGAUGGGAAUGCCUUGCUGUCAGGUUGUGUUAGUGGUUCAAACAGAAAGGUACUACACAGCCAAAGCCAGGCAUAUACAACUGACAAAAAAAAAAAAAAAAGGUGAAAGCUGCUCUGGGCUCAUCAAUAACUUUCCGCACAUCCUUGCCUGUGCUCUGAGUUGAGAAAACACAGCAAUGAUCAGCACUCGGGUCAGGAUUUCGUGAGCUGUCCAAGGAGAAUUUACUCUAGCUCCUUCCUGACAGGAGACGGAGGUAUAAAAAACAAUGCAGUGACUUCUGUUCAAGCAAUAGCUGUGUAAAAUAUUGUUCAUCAGAGCUGUAAAGGUUAGCUCAGCAGAGAAAUAAGGUCUGCAGCUUUUGGCUUUGUAUCCCUUUGGGCAAUCCAUUUGCGAGUUUGUUGAAGGCAAGGAGAAAGAUCCAGUGAUUGGAAAGGGGCUGCACUCACCCCAGCACAGUCCCUGAAUUCAGCAUCUUGUUUUUUUCCAUUGGCUUUGAAGUACGUCUGGUCGAUACGGAUUUGUAAAGUGAUUGAAAGGCAUCCACUGCUUUAUCAUAAUAUUUCUCAGGCACUAAAAGUACCUCUGAGUGGCUGCAUUGCACUGACAGGACUUCUUCCUCUCUUCACCCAAAAGCCACCCACCAGCCUCAAUGCUGAGCACGAGAUGAGCAGGCUGAAGGAUGGAGAGGGGUUAAACCAACUAUCCCAAAUCCAACAGUCUCACUCCACUUCUAGCUGUUACCAGAUGGUUAUGAGGAGGGUGAGCCUGGAGUAGUUGGUUCUAGAACAUCCCAGUCACAGGGAAAGUUUCCUAAUGCUGACUAUUUCUCAGUCAUUUCUAUAGAACUCAUGGAAUCCCAGUAUGGCUUGGGUUGGAAGGGACCUGAAAGAUCAUCC